UGAGCAAUGUCAUGGAUGGUGGGU
rnacentral:miRNA from 1 species